CUUCAGACACGAUCGCUGAUUAGAUUAACGCUCCUCCCUUGGCAACGCCCGGGAGGGCGGAGAGUGAUUAUAAGCGAGUUUGGAGGGUGAUGGUUAAUGGAAAUCGUCCCGGCAGCUGGUCCGGGUGGAGGGAGGCCUGGCCAUCCGAAUGCCUUUCUCGGUUGUGUUUUCCAUGGAGGACGCGUGGGGGAGGCGGGCGGCUCCUGCAGGGGCUGGGGCUGCGGCUGCUGCAGGAGGUCAGCUCACUCGGGACGCCCCCGCCUCACACAUCCCCCUACCCCACGCAAGGAAGCUCCCCGAAGCUGCAGGGUGGACAGAGCGGUCACGCACCAUCCUGGAACAAGGGACAGACGUCACAUAUGACAGGAAUGCGCCCUGUGCUCCAGUCACGGGUCACUUAGCUGGUACAGCAGGCCCGUCAGCUCCCUCAGCCUAAGAGCCACUAUUCUCUGCGCACCUACUGUGUGCCAGUCACCAGAGCAGCCUUUUGCCGUCCUCCAUCCCAAGGGCUCAUCCCAGCAGUCCAACAAGGUGGGCGACGUUCACAUUUCACGGAAGAGGGAACGGAGGCCACCCUGCCUGGGCAUACGCCAGGGCGGAACCAGGACUGGGGUGGACCCGGCCCUCGCAGGGCUGACUCCAGUUCCCACUGCUGGCUGGGGUUCGGGGGUUCAGCCCUCCCUGUUCCCAGAUCAACAGCCCCUCUUCUUUUUGAGGAAGAUUAGCCCGGAGCUA
rnacentral:lncRNA from 1 species